rnacentral:rRNA from 1 species
AUGAUUAAAGGAGAAGAUUGUUCUUUUACCAAACAUAUGCAGAUCAAAUCAUGUCUUAUAAUCAGAAGAAAUCUUUCUCAGUAUCAAUCCGCUUGCCCCUCAUUCUUUGAGAAUUAGGAGGAUCCUUUUCGAGUUUUCAUUUCUUCAUUUGGAAUAUAA